GACGUAGGGCGCGAGCGUUGUCCGGAUUUAUUGGGCGUAAAGCGCGUGUAGGCGGCCCGGUAAGUCCGCUGUGAAAGUCGGGGGCUCAACCCUCGAAAGCCGGUGGAUACUGUCGGGCUAGAGUACGGAAGAGGCGAGUGGAAUCCCUGGUGUAGCGGUGAAAUGCGCAGAUAUCAGGAGGAACACCCAUUGCGAAGGCAGCUCGCUGGGACGUUACUGACGCUGAGACGCGAAAGCGUGGGGAGCAAACAGG
rnacentral:rRNA from 1 species